AGCAGUAGCCGCGGUAAUACGGAGGAUCCAAGCGUUAUCCGGAAUCAUUGGGUUUAAAGGGUCCGUAGGCGGUCUUGUAAGUCAGUGGUGAAAGCCCAUCGCUCAACGGUGGAACGGCCAUUGAUACUGCAGGACUUGAAUUAUUGGGAAGUAACUAGAAUAUGUAGUGUAGCGGUGAAAUGCUUAGAGAUUACAUGGAAUACCAAUUGCGAAGGCAGGUUACUACCAAUUGAUUGACGCUGAUGGACGAAAGCGUGGGUAGCGAACAGGAUUAGAUACCCCGGUAGUCCCUGUCUCUUAUAC
rnacentral:rRNA from 1 species